rnacentral:lncRNA from 1 species
UGUGGAGGAACAAGAAGGUUUCAGCUGGUGUACUUGGUUUUGCGACAGCAAUCUGGGUCCUUUUUGAGUUGGUCGAAUACAACUUGCUUACUCUAGUGUGCCAUAUCUUGAUACUCUCUCUUGCACUCUCGUUCCUCUGGUCUAAUGCUCACUCUUUUAUCAACAAGUAAUAUUCUCUCGUCCUUGAAGUUUUUAGCUCCCUUUUCUGGUUUAGGUAUCCAUGUAUUUUGGUGGAGGUAUUGACAACUGUAGGCUCGGAAUGGGUUGUUUGUGAUUUUCUUUCCGAUGUUGUUUUAUAGGAGUCCUCCUCGCAUCCCACAAGUUCAUCUUCCAGAGGAACCAGUCCUGCAGGUUGCUUCAGCACUGUGUGUUGAGAUUAACGGUGCGUUUGUGGUCUUGCGCAGUAUUGCCGCAGGAAAAGACUUGAAGAAGUUUCUCAUUGUAUGUUUCUUGAAUAUCUCAUCACUUCUGUUUCUACAGGUUCACCUUGUAAUUGAAGUAGAUCAUCUGAUAUUUCUGCCUUAUUUUGUUUUCAGUAGAAUAAUUCUUAUAUUACUGCUACAUAUGGAUCUGAAAUUUAUUGCUGUCGAGUUCUGCAUUAUUUGGUCAAUAGUGUCAUUGCUGGUUUUCAUGCUUUGCCUACUCUGACUAAUUCCUAAAAUUGCUGGUGUGUAUUGAUGUCAGG